rnacentral:tRNA from 1 species
GCGCUUUUAUUAACAGGAAGUGGCUCAGCAGGGAGAGCAGACGGCUCAUAACAGCCCGGCCGUAGGUUCGAGUCCUACAAGGCCCA